rnacentral:lncRNA from 1 species
UGCUUGGAGAAGAAAUUUUUGGUGAUGGGCGACGUUGGAUAAGAGUGGAGGAGGGUGGGAGAGUAUUUAUUCUCUUUUCUUCUACGGUACAAUCUCUUAUUUGAUCAAAUAUAUAUUGUUUUGUUUUUUUUUUUAACUAAUAAGAAUUUGUUAAUCACAUCAUCACUUACUCCUAGGCCAUGAAAACUUAUUCCGAAGCUUGAUUCUCCUCAAAAUAUAAAGAUUUCAAGAAACUCUUAGGGCGCUUAAUCAUGAAUUUCAACUAUAUAUAUAUAUAUAUAUAUAUAUGGGUUUUUUUUAUUGAACAAUUUUACAAUAUUGGUGAACUUGUGGCAUUUUCGUUUUUGACAGGAAAAAAGCAGAUGGUGUUGAAAGAAGAGAGAUGUGAACUUGGCAUUUUCAACUUGGCUAAAUUAUAUGAACUAGUAUAUACACAUGAAUUUGAGAAAGACAUCCCGGGUACUCCAAGUAUUUGCCUAAAAUUUCCCUGCCAAUUACCAACUUGUCUUUCUUUCUUGAAAGAUUAUGUAAACUUUAAGAAAAAAAAUGUAUAAUAGGGAGUGACUAGCCAAGUGCUUAUAUAUAUAUAUAUAGUAG